UCCCUGGUGGCUCAGUUGGUAAAGAAUCUGCCUGCAAUGCAGGAGACCCAGGUUUGAUCUCUGGGUCAGGAAG
rnacentral:tRNA from 1 species